AUGUCCGUGGCCUUGGCGGUGUGUCUGUCCUUCACGCAUGCGCAGAGAAGGAGGCGCUGGAGCAGGCUGCACCGUUUUGUAGGUCUCCAGGGGCAGGAGGACAGAACUGGCCACGGGGACAGAACUGCAGGGGAGCUCCAAGGUGUGACACGCGUGCCUUUGACACCCAGUGACAUUUUCAUUCGGAGUGAGCGCGCCUCCUGGGGCGGCCCUGUGGCUGGUCCCGGUUGGGCAGUGGCGCGCGCUGGCCGGUGCGCCGCGGUGGCCUUGCCUGUGGACGGGUGCGUGGUCAGCCCGCAGCGCCAGGGCAGGCGCGAGCGAACGCGCGCUUUCUGCCUUUCUUCUGACAGGAGUGGCGCGGCCCUGAUUUAUGGCCGCACUUCACGGGACACUGGGGUUCAUUCUUCAAAAUUUUGUAGAAAAUUGGAAUUAAAGGCGCCUGCCAGCCCCACGCCAGGUUCUGGGGAAGUGGAGAUGAGGAGCAAACCACCUGUGCCUCAGCAGGUCCAGUUCUGA
rnacentral:lncRNA from 1 species